AUUGAACGCUGGCGGCAUGCCUAACACAUGCAAGUCGAACGGUAACAGGCAUCUUGGUGCUGGAGUGAGGCGCACGGGGGAGUAUAGUGCCUGAAAGUAUCCAGGGUAGGGGGGGAAAGCGGCGGAAGACGGGCUCUAAUACCGCGUGCGUCGUGGGGGAGAGCGUGGGACAGCGUAGGACCGCUUGCUCUCGGGUGAGCCUAGGUCGGAUUAGCUAGUUGGUGGGGUAAAGGCCUACCAAGGCGACGAUCCGUAACUGGUCUGAGAGGAUGAUCAGACACACUGGAACUGAGACACGGCCCAGACUCCUACGGGAGGCAGCAGUGGGGAAUAUUGGACAAUGGGCGAAAGCCUGAUCCAGCAAUGCCGCGUGCGUGAAGAAGGUCUUCGGAUUGUAAAGCACUUUUAGUUGGGACGAAGGGGAGUAAGUUAAUACCGUGCUGUAUUGACGUUACCAACAGAAUAAGCACCGGCUAACUUCGUG
rnacentral:rRNA from 1 species